rnacentral:lncRNA from 1 species
CCUUGGGAGUGUUUAGGCAAGAGGCCUGCGGGCAAACAUAUACCCGUAGUAUUUACUGUAUGCACACUAGGUAAGUCCUGGGCAGACCACCCCCUGUAUUUUGGUUAGUGUGCCAGGUGGUGCUAAGAUUGGGUAGGAGAGGGGGCUCUUAACUUUUACUUUCUUUAAUUUGGUUCUGUUCAGACACUUUUCCGCACUUUACCGUGUGGAAGGAAAUAAAUUCCCUGUAAACGAUAACUUUUCUCAGCUUUGUUGUCCUUCGCCCUGCACCUACAAUCGCAUAUGUUUUUCCCUCCACGGGGAGUUGAGAUGUAGCAGGGUGUUACAUUCCCUCCACCAGGAGGCGUACGUAACAUUUUACUAAUAUAUUAGAUGAAGAAUGGCCCAUUAUGAACAGGAACUAGGGUGGGGGAAAAGCCAAUCUGUACUCACUCAAAUAGCUAAUGGAGGACACUGGCUUUCCCACGGUCGGCCCACUGGCUUUCCCACGGUCGGCCCACUGGCUUUCCCACGGUCGGCCCACUGGCUUUCCCACGGUCUGUUUUUCAAUGAUGCCUGGUAGACUACAUCGGUUUUAUAGUGGAGCUGUGCUUUAAUAUCCGCAGCUGAAAUAACUAAGAACACGUGUUACUCCACACAUUGCUAUUGCUGCACAACUGGUGAUAUUCUACCCAGUACUCUGUAUGGGUUCUCCUACCCUGUUCCUGUAUCUACCCAGUACUCUGUAUGCCAUGGUCUCUCUCCUACCCUGUUCCUGUAGCUACCCAGUACUCUGUAUGGGCUCUCCUACCCUGUUACUGUAGCUACCCAGUACUCUGUAUGCCGUGGGCUCUCCUACCCUGUUCCUGUAGCCACCCAGUACUCUGUAUGCCGUGGGCUCUCCUACCCUGUUCCUGUAGCUACCCAGUACUCUGUAUGCCGUGGUCUCUCCUACCCUGUUACUGUAGCUACCCAGUACUCUGUAUGUCAUGGUCUCUCCAACCCUGUUCCUGCAGCUACCCAGUAGUCUGUAUGCCAUGGGCUCUCCUACCCUGUUCCUGCAGUUACCCAGUACUCUGUAUGCCAUGGGCUCUCCUACCCUGUUCCUGUAGCUACCCAGUACUCUGUAUUUCACGGGCUCCCCUACCCUGUUCCUGUAUCUACCCAGUACUCUGUAUUUCAUGGGCUCUCCUACCCUGUUCCUGCAGCUACCCAGUACUCUCUAUGCCAUGGGCUCUCCUACCCUGUUCCUGCAGCCACCCAGAACUUCAUUUGGAGAAUGUUUUCGCAACAAAACAUAAUUCAUUAAACUGUUGACAGCCCCUCUGCACGCUCAAGAAAAUAAUAGAGAGAGAGAGAGGAGGAGAUGGAAACGCAUGCUGGUGAGAUAUUCUGUAUAGCUAAAGGUAAUGUGUCACCCAAUUCAUUCUGAAAAUAUAUACAAAAUCCCUAUUUCUAUACUAUUCACAAUCUAAUUCACUUUAGUUGUAGGUUACCUGUAAGCCUGUUUUCCCCCCUAACACUACACAGCUGAUUCAAAUGAUCAAAGCUUGAUGAUGAUAAUGAGUUGAUUAUUUAAAUCAGCUGUGUAGUGCUAGGGGUCAAAAACCCCCAAAAAUGUGCACCCCUUUGAGGUCUGGAGGACCGAGUUUGUGUAACACUGGCCUAGGGCCCGUAGGUUCUCUCCCAUACUCAUGGCUAUACAUUUGGGAGAACAGCAUGAGCUAGCCAGUCCACCCAGUAUGCAAUAAUACAAUCCACAAUCAAAGCCGAUUUACUCAAAUUUGUUUAAUUUUGGAGUAUAGGCUAGAACAUUUAUGUACCAAAUACAUCUUAAAUCAGUUGUUUAAUGUUUUUUUCUGCCAUGCUUAAUAUUUGGUAGGCUAUGUGUUUGUAUAACGGGCAGAACCAUAAUUUUAAUUCCGUUUUUUGGGGGGGGUUUGGGCUCAUAUGCGUAAGCGCUAAUAUGCAUUUUAAUCAUCACCUUAGAAAGCGCUGUCCAUUUCAUUGUAUUGGGCUUUGAAACAACAUCCACAACGACCAUGUUUCCCACUGUUUCAACCUGCUGGUGAACUUCUUUCUUCCAAUUGAUCAUCACAGUGAGGAUACUACCUCGCAAUAUGGAAGCAACAGAGGAUAAAACCAUCUUCCAGACGGUCUACUCCACCAACACCACAACCAGCUGGCGCAACUGGCUACGGCCAUGGAGGAGGCCCUCCGCGUUCUCCACCAGCAAGGCUCUCCAUAUCCCUAUCAGAGGGUCUCCUACCACGGGUCGCCACAGUGAGCCAGUCCCCCAGCCUACCCAGCCAUCCGCCCAGCCAUCUGCCCAGCGAUGCCCGAC